AACGAACGCUGGCGGCAGGCCUAACACAUGCAAGUCGAACGCACCGCAAGGUGAGUGGCGCACGGGUGAGUAACACGUGGGAAUGUACCCUUUGGUUCGGAAUAACGUUUGGAAACGAACGCUAAUACCGGAUGAGCCCUACGGGGGAAAGAUUUAUCGCCAAAGGAGCAGCCCGCGUCUGAUUAGCUAGUUGGUGGGGUAAAGGCCUACCAAGGCGACGAUCAGUAGCUGGUCUGAGAGGAUGAUCAGCCACACUGGGACUGAGACACGGCCCAGCCUCCUACGGGAGGCAGCAGUGGGGAAUAUUGGACAAUGGGCGGAAGCCUGAUCCAGCCAUGCCACGUGAGUGAUGAAGGCCUUCGGGUUGUAAAGCUCUUUCGCACGCGACGAUGAUGACGGUAGCGUGAGAAGAAGCCCCGGCUAACUUCGUGCCAGCCGCCGCAGUAACAC
rnacentral:rRNA from 1 species